UACGUAGGGGGGCAAGCGUUGUCCGGAUUUAUUGGGCGUAAAGCGCGUGUAGGUGGCCAUGUAGGUUCGCUGUGAAACUUGAGGCUCAACCUCAAGCUGUCGGUGGAAACCACAUGGCUAGAGUCCGGAAGAGGAGAGUGGAAUUCCUGGUGUAGCGGUGAAAUGCGCAGAUAUCAGGAAGAACACCAAUGGCGAAGGCAGCUCUCUGGGACGGUACUGACACUGAGACGCGAAAGCGUGGGGAGCGAACAGGG
rnacentral:rRNA from 1 species